rnacentral:rRNA from 1 species
CGGAGGAUCCAAGCGUUAUCCGGAUUUAUUGGGUUUAAAGGGUGCGUAGGCGGCUUAUUAAGUCAGGGGUGAAAGACGGUGGCUCAACCAUCGCAGUGCCCUUGAUACUGAUGAGCUUGAAUGAACUAGAGGUAGGCGGAAUGUGACAAGCAGCGGUGAAAUGCAUAGAUAUGUCACAGAACACCGAUUGCGAAGGCAGCUUACUAUGGUUUUACUUGACGCUGAGGCACGAAAGCGUGGGGAUCAAACAGGAUUAGAUACCCUGGUAGUCCACGCCCUAAACGAUGAAUACUCGCUGUUAGCGAUAUACAGUUAGCGGCUAAGCGAAAGCGUUAAGUAUUCCACCUGGGGAGUACGCCCGCAAGGGUG